AUUCAAUAAAUGAGUCCUACUCCUACACCUACUCUUAUCACUUGUAAUCCAAAAAAGCUCCAUUUCUUUCUUAUACGCUAAUUCACUAUUAAAUAGAAAUGUAUAUGCAAAACAGCGAGAAAUUUGUAGAUACGUUGAAUGUUGUUGCUUUCACAUUUGCAACUCUUAGUAGUUGUUCAAAACAACAAUGUCGAGCAAAGAUGUUUGCGAUGUUUGAAUGAUUCUUGGAUUGUAUUUGGAUUCCAUCGGUACUAUGGCCUGUUGAUUCGGCACCUUUGUCAUUUUAGCAACUUUUGUUUUCUUUUCUGUGUCGAUGUAGUUCUCUAUACCAUAUUCAUGUUCAUAUUCAUGUUCAUAUUCAUGUUCAUAUCAAUGUCCAUAUCAAUGUCCAUAUCAAUUUCCCAUGUUCCAUUACAUAUCCCGUGUUCUUUCCUUCUUCCAGCUUUUACAUGCUAGCCUUUUAUACAAUGAUUCCUCUCAUCUCGACUCGCUUGAUGAAUGGGCGUUUAGUUUUUGCAACAACAUAUGCGUUGGGUUAUCUCAUAUCGGGAAACACUUUCUGCCACUUUUAACUUGAACAAAGUUGGAGAAAUAAAGUGAUGGCAGAUAUUGCAAGUUGUUUAUAGUGUGCCUGUAGAAAUGUAAAAACGCCUAUGUUUCGUGAAUGCCCAGCCUGNAAAUCGAAAUAAGAUUUCGUAUUUAUUAAGCAUUGGAAGAUCACAAUUGGAAAAAACACGAUACGGGUGGUCCNCUUCCCAGGUCGUUCUCCAG
rnacentral:sRNA from 1 species